UGCAAGUCGAGCGCUCGCAGCAAUGCGGGAGCGGCAGACGGGUGAGUAACGCGUGGGAACAUACCCUCCGGUUCGGAAUAACUCAGGGAAACUUGAGCUAAUACCGGAUACGGCUUAGCGGCGAAAGAUUUAUCGCCGGAGGAUUGGCCCGCGUCCGAUUAGCUAGUUGGUGUGGUAAUGGCGCACCAAGGCGACGAUCGGUAGCUGGUCUGAGAGGAUGAUCAGCCACAUUGGGACUGAGACACGGCCCAAACUCCUACGGGAGGCAGCAGUGGGGAAUAUUGGACAAUGGGCGCAAGCCUGAUCCAGCCAUGCCGCGUGAGUGAUGACGGCCUUAGGGUUGUAAAGCUCUUUCGCCAGGGACGAUAAUGACGGUACCUGGAUAAGAGGCCCCGGCUAACUUCGUGCCAGCAGCCGCGGUAAUACGAAGGGGGCUAGCGUUGUUCGGAAUUACUGGGCGUAAAGCGCGUGUAGGCGGGUCUUUAAGUCAGGGGUGAAAUGCCAAGGCUCAACCUUGGAACUGCCUUUGAUACUGGAGAUCUUGAGUCCGGGAGAGGUGAGUGGAACUGCGAGUGUAGAGGUGAAAUUCGUAGAUAUUCGCAAGAACACCAGUGGCGAAGGCGGCUCACUGGCCCGGAACUGACGCUGAGACGCGAAAGCGUGGGGAGCAAACAGGAUUAGAUACCCUGGUAGUCCACGCUGUAAACGAUGGAUGCUAGCCGUUGGGGAGCUUGCUCUUCAGUGGCGCAGCUAACGCUUUAAGCAUCCCGCCUGGGGAGUACGGUCGCAAGAUAAAACUCAAGAAUUGACGGGGGCCCGCACAAGCGGUGAGCAUGUGGUUUAAUUCGAAGCAACGCGCAAACCUUACCAGCUUUUGAC
rnacentral:rRNA from 1 species